rnacentral:rRNA from 1 species
ACCUACGGGGGGCAGCAGUAGGGAAUUUUCGUCAAUGGACGCAAGCCUGAACGAGCAAUGCCGCGUGAACGAGGAAGGUCUUCGGAUCGUAAAGUUCUGUUGAAGGGGAAAAAGAGCGGAGAGAGGAAAUGGUCUCCGAUUGAUAUUACCCUUCGAGGAAGUCACGGCUAACUACGUGCCAGCAGCCGCGGUAAUACGUAGGUGGCGAGCGUUAUCCGGAAUGAUUGGGCGUAAAGGGUGCGUAGGCGGCCUGCUAAGUCUGGAGUGAAAGGUACCGGCUCAACCGGUACAGGCCGUGGAAACGG